rnacentral:lncRNA from 1 species
GUGCAACAGGAGAUUGAUCGCAAUAGAUUGGCAUGCUAGGUAAGGAGAAGGAUACAAGCAAUCAUGCCAAAAUCAGAGCUCAGCAUUCGACAGGAUCGACGAGGCAGUCUUCCCGCUAGAAAGAUUUUCCUCCCCUACCUCCAAUGGCAGAGUCCAGUUCUUCGCGUCCUGUAGUCACUACGGACGUGCAAAUUACUGCACUUAUAGAGCAAAUGAAGUUAUUAACAGAGGCGGUCCAAAGUCUUCAAC